UUGAAACUUAAAAUGAGAAAAGUUUUAAUUCAAUAUAUUUUUAUUAAUGGAUGAGGAGAAGUGAAGUGACAGGUAUAGGAACUGACUAUACCUUGGAAUUUGUUUUAUUCCAGUAAUUUUCAAAAAUAUUAAAACUGAAGACGGAAAGUGUCUGAUGGAUGGUUAACAAUUGAUUUCUGUUCUCGUUUUGCAAUGCAGUUUACACGUAUUACCGUCAUGGACUAUACAACUAAUACUCCAAUAAGGGAUACUCAUUAGACAACCGGCGAUCAACAAAAAAUAAACAAUGUAAUAAAAAAAUUUUAACAAAAAAUGUACCUAUAUUAAAAUAAAUAUAUAAAACAAUGUUUGUAUUUUAAACAACAA